rnacentral:rRNA from 1 species
ACUUUUAACAAUAGAUCUCUUAGUUCUAGCAUUAAUAAAGAACGCAGCGAAAUGCGAUAAGUAGUGUAAAUUAUAGAAUUUAGUAAAUUAUUAAAUCUUUGAACGCACAUUACGCCCCUUAGUAUUCUAUAGGGCAUGCCUGUUUAAGCGUUAUUUGUACCCUUAAGCUCUGCUUAGUGUUAGGUGUUUAUUCUACUUAGGACUUGCCUUAAAACAAUUAGUAGCUAGUAUAUUAGCCUAGAGCGCAGCACAUUUUGCGCCUCUUGUUAUAGUUAUUAGUAUCUAUUAAGACACUUUUUAAGCUCUUAACCUUAGAUUAGGUAGGGAUACCUACUAAACUUAAGCAUAUUAAUAAGUAGAGGAAAAGAAACUAAUAGAGAUUGCCCUAGUAAUAGCGAGUGAAGCGGCAACAGCUUAAAUUUAAAAUCUAGCAUUUUUAGGGUCCAAGUUGUAAUUUGUAGAGGGCGCUUUAGCGUUAGUAGUAGUCUAAGUUCCUUAGAAUAGGACGUUAUAGAGGGUAAGAAUCCUAUACGUGGUUGCUAGCCUUUGCUAUGUAAAGCCCCUUUAACAAGUUAAGUUAUUUAGGAAUAUAGCUCUAAAUAGGAGGUAAAUUUCUUCUAAAGCUAAAUACUAGCUAGAGACUAAUAGCGCACAAGUAGAGUAAUUAAAAGAUAAAAAGCACUUUAGAAAGAGAGUUAAAUAGCACGUGAAAUUGUUAAAAGGGAAGCGCUUAUAGCUAGACUUACCUAUAGUUACUUAUCUAGGCUUUUGUCUAGUGCACUCUUCUACAGGCAGGCUAGUAUUAGUUUAGGUGGUUAGAUAAAGGUCUCUGUCACGUACCUCCCUUUAGAGAGGCCUUAUAGGGGAGACAAUAUGCAACUAGCCUAGACUAAGGUCUGCGCAUCUACUAGGAUACUAGCGUAAUAGCUAUAAGCGGCCUGUCUUAAAACAUAGACUAAGGAGUCUAAUAUCUAUACAAGUAUUUAGGUGUUAAGCCUAGACGCGUAAUAAAAGUGAAUAGAGGUAGGACCCCUUUUAGGGUGCACUAUUAACUAAUCCUAAUAUCUUUAGAAGGAUUUAAGUAAGAGCAUAGCUAUUAGGACCUAAAAGAUAGUAAACUAUGCUUAAAUAGGGUAAAGCUAGAGGAAACUCUAGUAGAGGCUCGUAGCAGUUCUAACGUGCAAAUUAAUUAUUAAAUUUAGGUAUAGGGGCGAAAGACUAAUUAAACUAUCUAGUAGCUAGUUCCUACUAAAGUUUCCCUUAGGAUAGCAGUAACGUAUUUAGUUUUAUAAGGUAAAGCAAAUAAUUAGAGGCCUAGGUGUUAAAAUAACCUUUACCUAUUCUUAAACUUUAAAUAUAUAAGAAGUCCUUAUUACUUAAUUAAACGUGGACACUUAAAUAUACUAUUACUAGUAGGCUAUUUUUAGUAAGCAGAACUAGCAAUACAGGAUAAACUAAACGUAGGGUUAAGGUGCUAGAAUACACGCUUAUUAGACACUACAAAAGGUAUUAGUUUAUCUAGAUAGCAGGAUAGUAGCUAUAGAAGUUAGAAUCCACUAAGGAGUGUGUAAUAACUUACCUACUAAAUAAACUAGCCCUAAAAAUAGAUAGCGCUUAAGCAUGUUACCUAUACCCCGCCGCUAGGGCAAGAUUUAAGCCCUAGCAAGUAGGCAGGCGUGGAGGCUUGUGACAAAGCCUUAGGGGUAACCCUAGGUAGAAUAGCCUCUAGUGCAGAUCUUAGUGGUAGUAGCAAAUACUUAAAUAAGAACUUUAAGGACUAAAGUAGGGAAAGGUUCUGUGUAAAUAGUAGUUAGACACAGGUUAGUUAAUCCUAAGAGAUAGGGUAAUUCUGUUUUAAUAUUAGCGCUUGCGCCGCGCCCUUAAAAGGGAAGCUAGUUAAUAUUCUAGCACCUAGAUGUAGAUUCUCCGCGGCAACGCAACUAAGAGUAGAGACCUUAGCAGGAGCCCUAAGAAGAGUUCUCUUUUCUUCUUAACAGUCUGUUACCCUAAAAUUAGUUUAUCUAGAGCUAGGGUUUAAUAGCUAGAAGAGCGCUAUACUUUUGCAGCGUUUAGUGCGCUCCUAACAAGCCUUAAAAAUCUACUUAAAGAAAUAGUUUUUACGCUAGGUUGUACUUAUAACUAUAGUAGGUCUCUAAGGUAAAAAGCCUCUAGUUAAUAGAAUAAUAUAGAUAAGGGAAGUUAGUAAAAUAGAUCUGUAACUUUAGGAAAAGGAUUAGCUCUAAGGGUUAGGUACGUUAGGCCUUAGGGAGAAGCCUCUAGCGCAGAAGGGCACUAACUACAAGGUAGGCGCCUCUUAGCGCUAGGGUGCAGAUACCCUUAGCAGGUUUUAGCUGUCUAGCGUACGUUUAAUAACUAACUUAGAACUAGUAUAGAUAAGGGGAAUCUAACUAUCUAAUUAAAAUAUAGCAUUGCAAUAGCUAGAAAGUAGUAUUAAUAUAAUGUGAUUUCUGCCUAGUACUCUAAAUAUUAAAGUAAAGAGAUUUAACUAAGCGCGGGUAAACAGCAGGAGUAACUAUAACUCUCUUAAGGUAGCUAAAUACCUUAUUAUCUAAUUAGUAACGCGUAUAAAUAGAUUAACAAGAUUCCUACUAUCCCUAUCUACUAUCUAGCGAAACUAUAGCUAAGGGAACAGGCUUAGCCAAAUUAGCAGGGAAAGAAGACCCUAUUAAGCUUAACUCUAGUUUAAUAUUGUAAAAAGAUAUAGGGGGUGUAGAAUAGGUAGGAGCUUUAGCGCUAGUAAAAUACUACUACCCUUAUUAUUUUUUUACUUAUUCAAUAAAGCAGAGCUAGGCCUUACUACCUAACUUCUAGCGUUUAAGGUCCUUUAUAGGCUAAUCUAGGUUAAAGAUAUUGUUAGGUAGGGAGUUUAGCUAGGGCAGCACAUCUAUUAAACUAUAACGUAGGUGUCCUAAGGGGGACUUAUAGAGAAUAGAAAUCUCUAGUAGAGUAAAAGGGCAAAAGUCCCCUUAAUUUUAAUUUUUAGUGUGAAUACAAACUAUAAAAGUAUAGCCUAUUAAUCCUUUAGUCCCUUAAAAUUUAAGGCUAGAGGUGCUAGAAAAGUUACUAUAGGGAUAACUGGCUUGUGGCAGCCAAGCGUUUAUAGCAACGUUGCUUUUUAAUCCUUUAAUAUUAGCUCUUCCUAUUAUACUAAAGUAGAAUUUAGUAAGCGUUAGAUUGUUUACCUACUAAUAGGGAACGUAAGCUAGGUUUAGACUAUUGUAAGAUAGGUUAGUUUUACCCUACUAAUAACCUUGCCCUAAUAGUAAUACCGCUUAGUACAAGAGGAACCGCGGUUUUAGAUAAUUAGUUUUUGCGGCUAUCUAACUAGGCAUUACUGCAAAGCUACUAUCUACUAGAUUAUAGCUAAACGCCUCUAAGUUAGAAUCUAUGCUAGAACAGGGUAAUUUCCGCCUAUACUAGUUAGAUACAAAUAGGCCUUUAGCCUAGAACCUUACUAGAUUAGCGUUAGUAGCCCUAUUAAAGUUAGAGUUAUUAGCUAGUGUAUUAUAAUUAUACAGUGCGCAGGAUUAAAUCCUUUGCAGACAACUUAGUUGUCUAGCUAGGUCGUGUAAGUAGUUAAGUAGCCUUAUUAUUACGAGCUACUAAGCGUAAGCCUGUUGCUAGCUUGGUUAAAAUUAGGAUAUUAUACCCUCCUUAUUUGCAAAACUGCUACCUAAACAGCUGCUAUUAACAGAAGGAAGAGGGCUAUAGCUAACAUGUUAUAUAGCAAUUGCAAGAUAGCGAGGGCUAGAGCUAGAAGCAAUCCUUACAAAAUAUACAAAAGAAUAGGUUAUGUGUGUACGUACCUUAGGCAGUUAAAUUAUAGCAUAUAAAGAUUAAGAAAGGACAUAAAAUAAUCUAUACAUAUUUGUAGGUGGUGUUCUAUAACUUAGGGCGUUCUAUAACCCUUUAUUUUUUAGGGGUAGUGUUCUAUAACUUAGGGCGUUCUAUACUUAAAAAAUCUUAUAGGCUAUUCUAUAACUAUAGAUUAUUCUAAACCUUUAGGGCAUUCUAUUAAUAUUUUAAAAAAUCUAGUAGGCUAUUUUAUAAGCUUAUAGCGUUCUAUAACUUUAGGGCGUUCUAUAACUUAGGGCGUUCUAUAACUUAGGGCGUUCUAUAACUUUUUACUUCUUAGGGGUAGUGUUCUAUAACUUAGGGCGUUCUAUACUUAAAAAAUCUUAUAGGCUAUUCUAUCACUAUAGAUUAUUCUAAACCUUUAGGGCAUUCUAUUAAUGUUUUAAAAAAUCUAGUAGGCUAUUUUAUAAGCUUAUAGCGUUCUAUAACUUUAGGGCGUUCUAUAACUUAGGGCGUUCUAUAACUUAGGGCGUUCUAUAACUUUUUACUUUUUAGGGGUAGUGUUCUAUAACUUAGGGCGUUCUAUACUUAAAAAAUCUUAUAGGCUAUUCUAUAACUAUAGAUUAUUCUAAACCUUUAGGGCAUUCUAUUAAUGUUUUAAAAAAUCUAGUAGGCUAUUUUAUAAGCUUAUAGCGUUCUAUAACUUUAGGGCGUUCUAUAACUUAGGGCGUUCUAUAACCUUUUACUUCUUAGGGGUAGUGUUCUAUAACUUAGGGCGUUCUAUAACCUUUUAUUUUUUAGGGGUAGUGUUCUAUAACUUAGGGCGUUCUAUAACCUUUUAUUUUU